rnacentral:rRNA from 1 species
UACGGAGGGUGCAAGCGUUGUCCGGAUUUAUUGGGUUUAAAGGGUGCGUAGGCGGCUGAAUAAGUCAGCGGUGAAAGACUUCGGCUUAACCGGAGCAGUGCCGUUGAUACUGUUUAGCUUGAGUGUUGGAGGGGUACAUGGAAUUGAUGGUGUAGCGGUGAAAUGCAUAGAUACCAUCAGGAACACCGAUAGCGAAGGCAUUGUACUGGCCAACAACUGACGCUGAGGCACGAAAGUGUGGGGAUCGAACAGGAUUAGAUACCCUGGUAGUCCACACCGUAAACGAUGAUUACUCGCUGUUAUGGUGUAUGCUGUAGCGGCCAAGCGAAAGCGUUAAGUAAUCCACCUGGGGAGUACGCCGGCAACGGUG